rnacentral:rRNA from 1 species
AUUUUCCGGUUGAUCCUGCCGGACCCGACUGCUAUCAGAGUGGGGCUAAGCCAUGCGAGUCAACGCCGCAAGGCGUGGCAUACGGCUCAGUAACACGUAGUCAACAUGCCCAGGGGACGUGGAUAACCUCGGGAAACUGAGGAUAAACCGCGAUAGGCCAAGAUUUCUGGAAUGGAUCAUGACCAAAAUCUAUAUGGCCCCUGGAUUGGACUGCGGCCGAUCAGGCUGUUGGUGAGGUAAUGGCCCACCAAACCUAUAACCGGUACGGGCUCUGAGAGGAGGAGCCCGGAGAUGGGCACUGAGACAAGGGCCCAGGCCCUAUGGGGCGCAGCAGGCGCGAAACCUCUGCAAUAGGCGAAAGCUUGACAGGGUUACUCUGAGUGAUGCCCGCUAAGGGCAUCUUUUGGCACCUCUAAAAAUGGUGCAGAAUAAGGGGUGGGCAAGUCUGGUGUCAGCCGCCGCGGUAAUACCAGCACCCCGAGUGGUCGGGACGAUUAUUGGGCCUAAAGCAUCCGUAGCUUGUUCUGCAAGUCCUCCGUUAAAUCCACCUGCUCAACAGAUGGGCUGCGGAGGAUACUACAGGGCUAGGAGGCGGGAGAGGCAAACGGUACUCAGUGGGUAGGGGUAAAAUCCACUGAUCCACUGAAGACCACCAGUGGCGAAGGCGGUUUGCCAGAACGCGCUCGACGGUGAGGGAUGAAAGCUGGGGGGGCAAACCGGAUUAGAUACCCGGGUAGUCCCAGCUGUAAACGAUGCAGACUCGGUGAUGGGUUGGCUUCGGGCCAACCCAGUGCCGCAGGGAGGCCGUUAAGUCUGCCGCCUGGGGAGUACGGUCGCAAGACUGAAACUUAAAGGAAUUGGCGGGGGAGCACCACAAGGGGUGAAGCCUGCGGUUCAAUUGGAGUCAACGCCGGAAAU